UACGAAGGGGGCUAGCGUUGUUCGGAAUUACUGGGCGUAAAGCGCACGUAGGCGGAUAUUUAAGUCAGGGGUGAAAUCCCGGGGCUCAACCCCGGAACUGCCUUUGAUACUGGGUAUCUAGAGUCCAGAAGAGGUGAGUGGAAUUCCGAGUGUAGAGGUGAAAUUCGUAGAUAUUCGGGGGAACACCAGUGGCGAAGGCGGCUCACUGGUCUGGUACCGACGCUGAGGUGCGAAAGCGUGGGGAGCAAACAGG
rnacentral:rRNA from 1 species